rnacentral:snRNA from 1 species
UGGCUUGUGGCAGCCAAGCGU